rnacentral:rRNA from 1 species
CCUACGGGUGGCAGCAGUAGGGAAUAUUGCUCAAUGGGGGAAACCCUGAAGCAGCAACGUCGCGUGGAGGAUGAAGGUUUUCGGAUUGUAAACUCCUUUUGUUAGAGGAGAUAAUGACGGUAUCUAACGAAUAAGCACCGGCCAACUCCGUGCCAGACGCCGCGGUAAUACGGAGGGUGCAAGCGUUACUCGGAAUCACUGGGCGUAAAGAGCGCGUAGGCGGGAUAGCAAGUCAGAUGUGAAAUCCUAUGGCUUAACCCUAGAACUGCAUUGGAAACUGUUAUUCUAGAGUAUGGGGGAGGUAGGUGGAAUUCUUGGUGUAGGGGUGAAAUGCGUAGAGAUGAAGAGGAAUACUGAUUGCGAAGGCGACCUGCUAGAACAUAACUGACGCUGAUGCGCGAAAGCGUGGGGAGCAAACAGGAUUAGAUACCCUUGUAGUC